rnacentral:lncRNA from 1 species
AUAUUUUGAACUCUUCAUAAUGAUUUUUUGUAAACCAAAAUGAUGUUUGGAUCCUUAAUACACUUCCCUGAACCCCAUCCUGGAAAAACCCUCAAGAUAUACUCAGGUCAGAGGUCUCCAAGGAGCAGUUGCUUUGAACACUGCCCAGUGACCAUGUGGCUUACCCAACCCUUGCAAAUGCUUCCAGAAAAUGUCUUUCUUUAGUCUUUUGCUGAUAAGUUUAAUCAGUCCACCAGUUUAGCAUUUUGUAUUCAUAAUGUAAAUAAACCAGUUUCCCUGUGACUUUUUCCCUUUGUAGUCAAAGCUCUACACACCGAGCCCAGGGCCUUUUAAUGCUUUCUGCUUUGCCAAAACCAGCCUUACUUUUCUGCCUAUUUAAACAUCAUUGUUAGGGCCGGGCCUGGUGGCUCACGCCUGUAAUCCCAGCACUUUGGGAGGCCGAGGUGGGCAGAUCACAAGGUCAGGAGUUCGAGACCAGCCUGGCCAACAUGGUGAAACCCCGUGUCUACUAAAAAUACAAAAAUUAGCUGAGUGUGAUGGCAGGCGUCUCUAGUCCCAGCUACUCAGGAGGCUGAGGCAGGAGAAUCGUUCGAACCCAGGAGGCGGAUGUUGCAGUGAGCCGAGAUCGCGCCAUUGCACUCCAGCCUGGGCAACAGUGCGAGACUACGUCUCAAAACAAAAAACAUCAUUGUCAAUAUUCAUCUUUGGUUUGAGCCUCCGUUUCUUUCUCCUUUAAAUGAAAUUGCUUAAGAGCAGAUAAAUGUUUUUCAGCACUUUAUUCCUCCUUCUCAGUUCUCUUUGUUUCCCCUGCUUUAUUAAAAAUCUUAAAUAAUAUCCAUAUUGUUGGCACCAGACUCUCAUUGCCGAAACCCCAUUUAGCUAAGCUAGUGCUGUGAUCUCCCGGGCCUCCUAAUGACAUUCUUAAGCAUGUCCCCCUCGGUGUGUGCGGAGGAAGCUGUGUCACUUAUGUUGAUCUGACAGAAGUCAACACAACAACAGCUCCCCUGCCAGUAGGAUGCCCCGGGCUGGACUGUGCCUGUCAACUCCCUGCUGGAGGGUGGCUGUGAAAUUUCUCAUGCUGCCUUCUUGGAAUUGUAGCCAGAGUGCAUCCACAAAACAAUGCUGCGGGAUGCUGAAUAACAGCCCCCAGUCAUACACAGGUCCUUAUCCUUAAAACCCAUGAAUAGCCUGUAAUGAGGCCGAGGUGGGUGGAUCACCUGAGGUCAGGAGUUCAAGACCAGCCUGGCCCACAUGGCGACACCCCGUCUCUACUAAAAAUACAAAAAUUGGCCGGGCAUGGUGGCUCACGCCUGUCAUCCCAGCACUUUGGGAGGCUGAGGCGGGCGGAUCACAAGGUCAGGAGAUCGAGACCAUCCUGGCUAACACAGUGAAACCCCGUCUUUACUAAAA